rnacentral:ncRNA from 2 species
UGAUGGGGUAGAGGCGCAAAAAAAAUCAGUACACAUUAGGAGCUAGAACAGCAAUGAGCGGUGUGGAAAGGUUUUUUUGCCGAAGCGAAAAGAAAUGUUCAGUUCUUUUUAGCUGGGUCGUCAUUGAAUAAAUGACGGACUGUCACAGGAAACUGUGGAGGACUACUAUGGAU